rnacentral:rRNA from 1 species
AACGAACGCUGGCGGCAUGCCUAACACAUGCAAGUCGAACGGCAGCACGGACUUCGGUCUGGUGGCGAGUGGCGAACGGGUGAGUAAUACAUCGGAACGUACCCAGUAAUGGGGGAUAACUAUCCGAAAGGAUAGCUAAUACCGCAUACGCCCUACGGGGGAAAGAGGGGGAUCGCAAGACCUCUUGUUAUUGGAGCGGCCGAUGGCUGAUUAGCUAGUUGGUGAGGUAAAGGCUCACCAAGGCGACGAUCAGUAGCGGGUCUUAGAGGACGAUCCGCCACACUGGAACUGAGACACGGUCCAGACUCCUACGGGAGGCAGCAGUGGGGAAUCUUGGACAAUGGGCGCAAGCCUGAUCCAGCAAUGCCGCGUGCGUGAAGAAGGCCUUCGGGUUGUAAAGCGCUUUUGUCAGGGAGCAAAUCCUUGUGGCUAAUACCCACCGGGGAUGAGAGUACCUGAAGAAUAAGGACCGGCUAACUACGUGCCAGCCGCCGCCGUAAAAC